AAUGAUUUGGCAGAUUAGUGCUUUAAAUUUAGAAUUUAAUAAAGUAUUUUUUUUAUACAUUCAUUA
rnacentral:tRNA from 1 species